GUGAGUCAUCGAAUCUUUGAACGCAUAUUGCGCCCCUUGGUAUUCCGGGGGGCACACCUGUUCGAGCGCCAUUUCAACCCUCAAGCAUAGCUUGGUGUUGGGUAAGGUCCUUUUUUAAUUAGGGGACCAACCCGUAACUUGUAGGCGACCAUCGACCGCGCCCCUAGCGUAGCAAGCUAAUUCGCAUUCGCUCGGGGACGGGUUUUGUUGUGGUUUAGUGCCCACUAAAAAAUUUUCAAAGGUUUGGCCUCGGAUCAGGUGGGGAUACCCGCUGAACUUAAGCAUAUCAAUAAGCGGAGGA
rnacentral:misc_RNA from 1 species